GAGCAACUCCUAUAGGACUGAAUGGGCGCCAUUUUUAGUCCGGUAUCCAGCUCUUAUAAUACAUCAGUGGUGUACAAGCGAGCGAGUAAAAGAGAGGAAAAGUUGUUUAUAUUUGUUGGAGUCAGUGUUAAAGUUGUCCAGAAGAGAUUUACCUUGUUCCGAGAUAUUAUUGAUUAAGAGAGAAUGAAGGAGGAUCGCUAUUAGACGUUUUUUUGAUGUCAGUGCUCCGGUUGGUUUUUUUUACGAUCGAUUUUCUGAGAGAGGACUCCAGUGAGCGGGAGCUAUAUCAACGACCACUGCUGUCGCGUGAGGGAGUGUCAGAGCCAAGACGCUGCUGGAUUUGGAGGAUCCAGACCUCCGUCGGGAAUACAGAUAAGCUUAAAUAAAAUACCGAAAAUAAAUAAAAGGGGCCCCUGAACUUAACUGAACUGAACAAAACUUUCAAGGAUCCUAAGCUAUUCGCAUCUGAGGAGGAAAUAAAGAAGGACUAUAAAAUUGAACUGAAUGUUGAUACCACCUGGGUAUUAACAAAAGGACUGAAGGGUGGACAAUUUAAUUUAAUUAAUUAAUUAAAUAAUUUUUGAUUUAAUACUUGAACAGCUUUAAAAAAAAAAUAUUAUUGGCCAAAUCUAAGAAAUAUGUGAAAGGGUAAAUCUUGGUUUGUAUUUUUUUUUCCUUGUGUGGAAUAAAUUCCAUCUUUCUAUUGUCACUAA